GAUGAAGAACGCAGCGAAAUGCGAUAAGUAAUGUGAAUUGCAGAAUUCAGUGAAUCAUCGAGUCUUUGAACGCACAUUGCGCCCCCUGGUAUUCCGGGGGGCAUGCCUGUCCGAGCGUCAUUGCUGCCCUCAAGCACGGCUUGUGUGUUGGGUCCCCGUCCCCGGUUUCCCCCGGGGACGGGCCCGAAAGGCAGCGGCGGCACCGCGUCCGGUCCUCGAGCGUAUGGGGCUUUGUCACCCGCUCUGUAGGCCCGGCCGGCGCCAGCCGACACCCAACUUUAUUUCUAAGGUUGACCUCGGAUCAGGUAGGGAUACCCGCUGAACUUAAGCAUAUCAAUAAGCGGAGGA
rnacentral:misc_RNA from 1 species